UGCAAGGAUAAAAACACAGCACAGUUGGUAGUCUUGUGCGCCGGAACCCCGGCCAGUAACCUGCCCUCCCAGGGUUGUCCAUUUCUUGUGAUUUUA
rnacentral:ncRNA from 1 species